rnacentral:rRNA from 1 species
GACAGAGGGUGCAAACGUUGUUCGGAAUUACUGGGCGUAAAGCGCGUGUAGGCUGCUUUGCAAGUCGGAUGUGAAAGCCCUGGGCUCAACCUAGGAAGUGCACUCGAAACUGCAAGCUUGAGUCUCGGAGAGGAUCGCGGAAUUCUCGGUGUAGAGGUGAAAUUCGUAGAUAUCGAGAGGAACACCGGUGGCGAAGGCGGCGAUCUGGACGAUGACUGACGCUGAGACGCGAAAGCGUGGGGAGCAAACAGG